rnacentral:lncRNA from 1 species
UAAACAAAGACAUCAACGAAGAAGUCUUGUGACAACCCGUCCCACUCACUCGGAAUGCGGCUCACAGCCCUGCAGGGCACCGACCCUGUGAAGAUCGUUUCUUCUUCUACUUUAACUGAGCUUGCGAUCUUCUUCUUCUUAACGUCUUGAAUCAACGCAACUAAGGAGCACACUCAAGAUGUUAACCCGGUGUUCACCUCACCACUCCGUUAACUAGGAAUGGCCGCUAUACUUCACCGGAGUUGGGAUUGAACCAGCAACUGACUAGCCUGCAACGAAUGAACUCACAGCUCGAGCCACCAUCUUUACAAGUCGAUCACCUUGCUCUCUCUCUCUCCUUGAUUAUCUUGAUCACUGAUCUAACAACCUACUCAGCUCAAGAUAUCAACCUUAUCCUAAGCUAACCAACUCUUAUAUCAUUUGAGUCAGCUAACCAUAACACGUGCACAAGCCUCACACGUGUUUCCUAACUAAAGAGAGAGAGGCCGGUUCAAUACAAUUACAAGCUUAACCAUUCUAAACCAAGUCAAAUCUAAUCUUAACCUAUUGAACCUAAACCGAAUGUAAGACUUGUCUAUAACCAACAAAUAUCCUCCUUAGGCAAGUCUU